rnacentral:rRNA from 1 species
GAUGAACGCUCGCUACAGGCUUAACACAUGCAAGUCGAGGGGCAGCAUGACCUAGCAAUAGGUUGAUGGCGACCGGCGCACGGGUGAGUAACACGUAUCCAACCUGCCGAUUAUUCCGGGAUAGCCUUUCGAAAGAAAGAUUAAUACUGGAUAGCAUAACGAGAGGGCAUCUUCUUGUUAUUAAAGAAUUUCGAUAAUCGAUGGGGAUGCGUUCCAUUAGUUUGUUGGCGGGGUAACGGCCCACCAAGACAUCGAUGGAUAGGGGUUCUGAGAGGAAGGUCCCCCACAUUGGAACUGAGACACGGUCCAAACUCCUACGGGAGGCAGCAGUGAGGAAUAUUGGUCAAUGGACGAGAGUCUGAACCAGCCAAGUAGCGUGAAGGAUGACUGCCCUAUGGGUUGUAAACUUCUUUUAUAUGGGAAUAAAGUGGGCCACGUGUGGCUUUUUGUAUGUACCAUACGAAUAAGGAUCGGCUAACUCCGUG